rnacentral:tRNA from 1 species
GCCAGUGUACUCAGUGGUUAGAGUGUCAGUCUGUGCACUGAAGGGUCGCGGGUUUGACUCCCGGUCAAGGGCA